UACGAAGGGAGCUAGCGUUGUUCGGAAUCACUGGGCGUAAAACGCACGUAGGCGGAUUGCUAAGUCAGGGGUGAAAUCCUGGAGCUCAACUCCAGAACUGCCUUUGAUACUGGCGAUCUCGAGUCCGGGAGAGGUGAGUGGAACUGCGAGUGUAGAGGUGAAAUUCGUAGAUAUUCGCAAGAACACCAGUGGCGAAGGCGGCUCACUGGCCCGAUACUGACGCUGAGGCACGAAAGCGUGGGGAGCAAACAGG
rnacentral:rRNA from 1 species